rnacentral:rRNA from 1 species
ACGGGUGAGUAAUGCCUAGGAAUCUGCCUGGUAGUGGGGGACAACGUUUCGAAAGGAACGCUAAUACCGCAUACGUCCUACGGGAGAAAGCAGGGGACCUUCGGGCCUUGCGCUAUCAGAUGAGCCUAGGUCGGAUUAGCUAGUUGGUGGGGUAAUGGCUCACCAAGGCGACGAUCCGUAACUGGUCUGAGAGGAUGAUCAGUCACACUGGAACUGAGACACGGUCCAGACUCCUACGGGAGGCAGCAGUGGGGAAUAUUGGACAAUGGGCGAAAGCCUGAUCCAGCCAUGCCGCGUGUGUGAAGAAGGUCUUCGGAUUGUAAAGCACUUUAAGUUGGGAGGAAGGGCAGUAAGCGAAUACCUUGCUGUUUUGACGUUACCGACAGAAUAAGCACCGGCUAACUCUGUGCCAGCAGCCGCGGUAAUACAGAGGGUGCAAGCGUUAAUCGGAAUUACUGGGCGUAAAGCGCGCGUAGGUGGUUUGUUAAGUUGGAUGUGAAAGCCCCGGGCUCAACCUGGGAACUGCAUCCCAAACUGGCAAGCUAGAGUACGGUAGAGGGUGGUGGAAUUUCCUGUGUAGCGG